ensembl:lincRNA
GUAGUCCGUUCCUUUCUAGAAUAAAUAUUUUAUGUCAUCUGCAUAACUUUUGUUUUUGAAAGAAGUUACGAAAAACAAAACUUAUUUCUGGUCUAUUAUUUACUUUUUAAAGGAAAGCAGAAGAGCGGAAGUUCUGGUGAAGACUCUUAGGACUCCUAGUGCCAAACUUAACCCCAUUGACUUUCAUGACACAAAUGCCAAUAAAGAUGAUUUUGAUUUGAUGGAUUCUCUAAAGCUGGAGGAAGGGUCUCUUCAUCAAAAUAAGCAUUUGGCGUCAGACUCAGAAACUGUUUUGCCUGUGGAUAGAUUUUUAGACACUGAGAUGCCUCAAGUGUCCAUUCAAACAAAUGUGGAUGUAGCAUCUUUGAAGCCUGUUAGUGACAAUGCAUUUAAUUCCACUGAUGCUCCAUGGUCACCUACCAGUGAAAGGCAAACCUGCGAAGGUUAUGAGUUGGUUGGAAAGACCAAGGACCAAGCGAACCCACCACAGAGUGUGGUCUAUCAGGAUGAGGAGGGCAGAUGGGUUACUGAUCUCGCCUAUUAUACACCUUUUGAUAAAGAACAAGAUUUCAAUGUGUCACUCAGUAAUGAACUGAGCGAAGACUUCCGAUCUGGCUCUGAUGCAUUGGAUUUGAUUGCACAAGAUGAAGAAGAAUUUAAUAAAGAGCAUCAGUUUAUGCAGGAAGAAAAUAUAGAUGCCCAGAACAUGUCUGUUGCCCUUGGAGAUACAUCAUGGGGAACUUCGGUCAACUAUGGUCUGCUGAGGAGAUCACUGAGUGCAUCAGAUGUGGACAGAGAUGAUGCCAGUUACUUACGUCUGUCUUUAGGGGAGUUCUUUGCUCAAAGGUCUGAAGCUCUUGGUUGCCUUGGUGGUGGUUACAAUGUGAAAAGAGUAAGUACCAUGUAUAUUGGGAGUGGUAAAUGCACCAGCCCUUAUGUACUGAAUGCAGUGACAGUGUAGCCAGAUCAUAGUGUCUUUAAAGCAGAGACAGAAUAGGGGCAUGGUGGGAUGGUGGGAAAAGGUUUCGAUUUUUAGUGGUCAUACCCUUGCUCCAGUCCUAGCUCUGUCUUUUAGCUAGUUCUGCGUCAUGGAACAAUGCAUGUAACUCCUCUGUGCCUUAAUUUUCCGAUUUCUGGGAUGGAACACUGCCUUACAGGGUUUGGGGGUUACUGUGCUGCUGCACUACGGUGUUUAGCACAGCUUCACGUGCAUCAAGUACUUGAUGUUUGUUUCUCUUAUGUCUUUGGUUGUGGGAAGAAUUCAGAGAUACAUUAAUUUUUAAACCUCUGGUCUAAAAACAUGUUUUGAAAUAUAGUAGUGUUUUGGUUUAGUAAGAUGUACGUGUAAAAAGUUUUAAAUGCCAGUGGAAGUGGUAAGUUGUAUGAGGCAGGAGGGGAAGCUAUGUUGUCUCUAGGGUCAGGGCGGUGUCUGAGGAGGGGCGCUGUGCUGGCACCUGACAGGUGGGGAGUAAGGUGGCGUGUUCACAGUGAAGGCCUGGAGGUGCCAAGUGGAGCUUGAGUGGCACAUUCAAGGAGCAGAGAGCAGGCAGACAGCUCCUGUGAGUGGGGCAGCAGGCGGAUGGCUGGUGGAAGUAGACAAGGGCCAGGUCAUGAGGGGCCCUCAGAGCUUGAGGGCAUCUCACGGGGACAGGGAGGCAGGGCAUAGUUUUCAGGCCCAGAUGUGAGAGGAACUGGAGGCAGGAGUCUCCUAAGCCCCAGAGGAGGAUCAGUGGGCAGAGACUGAGCCACAUAGGAGGUGCCGCGAAGGCCAGGGAAUAGGAUGGCAGUAGGAAACAGAGGAGUCUAGGGCGCAGGAGUGCCUCUGGAGAAUUCCGUGCUGGGACUUGGUGCUGUCAUAGUGAGUGUAUGCUAAACCUGAGUUUCAUUGAGGGUGUAAUUUGAAACAGCUAGCGAGUUAGAACACUGCCAAUUUACAGAAAAAUUUGAACUGAGGGUCCUAUCUGUGCAGUGAAUUAAGAAAUGAGAGUAAAUACUUAGGCAGAUAUUUCUUCCUGGAUCACUUGGUUUUGACAUUAUGAGAGAAGUUGAAGAGUAACUGAAUUCCUUUCUGAAACAGCUGGACAAAACACCAGGUACUAGAAAGAUGUAUCUAUUACUUUGUGUUAGUUGUGAAAUGUUGCUUGGUUCAGGUUGCUGGAUCAAAGGAAGAUAUCCCCAAGUGAAGAUGAGUUGAAAAUUGAGUGCCUUUAGUGAAUUUGCAUUUCAGGUCUGUUCUGUGAGAGCUCUGGAAAGAAGCUGGAUGGGGAAUUCCCUGCCCCUGAGCAAUGUCCUUGAACGCAGACCUUCUGAAUGCUCAUCCAAGGCAGUAGGAUCAUACCUAAUCUUAAUAUAGGUUUUCAGGGACCUAUUUAUUGUGUAAAAUAAAAUACCCUUCUAAGUACUAUAAGUUCCAGGAAGGCAGAAAAUUUUAUCUUUUUUUUACUGAUAUGUCACUGAUGAUUACCAGCAGUGCCUAACAGAUAGUAGGUGCUUAAUAAUAAUAAUUGCUGAAGGAACAGUGUUGUUUCUGGGUUGUUUUCAUUUGGAUUUCUUAGUAAGGGCAAAUUAUUUGGCAGUAUUCAUUCUGAUGAUUACAGAUAGCUAGCAGUAAGGAAAUAAAAGGUCCUGUCUGGACUUGCAAUGUUCAUUUCUAGCAACUUACAUUUAAAUGGAAAAUCAGAAUUACUUUGUUGAAAUCCGUUUAACUAGGUUACAAGUAUUAGGAUAAAAUAGUCCAGAAUUUCUCAGAGGAGUUGAACAUAAAGAAAAUAAUUGACAUGUUUAUUUUGUAGCCAUCGUUUGGUUAUUUUAUUAGAUCACCAGAGAAAAGAGAACCUAUUGCCCUAAUAAGAAAAUCAGACCUAUCAAGAAGUAAUUUGGGAAAAGAAGUGGCUGAUCUUAACCAUGGUUUUUUUUCAGGUAAUGGAUUAAAUGAAAUUUUUAGUAAACUUUUUAUUUAACCUGUAAAUUAGUGGUUGUGUGAUCAUGUUCUUCUGAGGAAGAAAGUAUUUUAAUUUUUUG